rnacentral:tRNA from 1 species
GGGCGUGUAACUCAGUUGGUCAGAGUAUCGGUCUUUUAAAUCGAAAGUCAGUGGUUCAAAUCCACUCACACCCA